rnacentral:rRNA from 1 species
GACGAACGCUGGCGGCGUGCUUAACACAUGCAAGUCGAACGGAAAGGCCCUGCUUUUGUGGGUUGCUCGAGUGGCGAACGGGUGAGUAACACGUGAGUAACCUGCCCUUGACUUUGGGAUAACUUCAGGAAACUGGGGCUAAUACCGGAUAGGAGCUCCUGCUGCAUGUUGGGGGUUGGAAAGUUUCGGCGGUUGGGGAUGGACUCGCGGCUUAUCAGCUUGUUUGUGGGGUAGUGGCUUACCAAGGCUUUGACGGGUAGCCGGCCUGAGAGGGUGACCGGCCACAUUGGGACUGAGAUACGGCCCAGACUCCUACGGGCGGCAGCAGUGGGGAAUAUUGCACAAUGGGCGGAAGCCUGAUGCAGCAACGCCGCGUGCGGGAUGACGGCCUUCGGGUUGUAAACCGCUUUCGCAUGUGACGAAGCGUAAGUGACGGUAAUGGGUAAAGAAGCACCGGCUAACUACGUG